UAAUGGCUCACCAAGGCGACGAUCCCUAGCUGGUCUGAGAGGAUGAUCAGCCACACUGGAACUGAGACACGGUCCAGACUCCUACGGGAGGCAGCAGUGGGGAAUAUUGCACAAUGGGCGAAAGCCUGAUGCAGCCAUGCCGCGUGUAUGAAGAAGGCCUUCGGGUUGUAAAGUACUUUCAGUUGUGAGGAAGGGGGUGUCGUUAAUAGCGGCAUCUCUUGACGUUAGCAACAGAAGAAGCACCGGCUAACUCCGUGCCAGCAGCCGCGGUAAUACGGAGGGUGCGAGCGUUAAUCGGAAUUACUGGGCGUAAAGCGCAUGCAGGUGGUUCAUUAAGUCAGAUGUGAAAGCCCGGGGCUCAACCUCGGAACUGCAUUUGAAACUGGUGAACUAGAGUACUGUAGAGGGGGGUAGAAUUUCAGGUGU
rnacentral:rRNA from 1 species